rnacentral:rRNA from 1 species
UACGGAGGAUCCGAGCGUUAUCCGGAUUUAUUGGGUUUAAAGGGUGCGCAGGCGGGAGAUUAAGUCGGCGGUGAAAUUUUGCAGCUCAACUGUAAAAGUGCCAUUGAUACUGGUUUUCUUGAGUGUGGAUGAAGUAGGUGGAAUUUGUGGUGUAGCGGUGAAAUGCAUAGAUAUCACGAGGAACUCCGAUUGCGCAGGCAGCUUACUAAGCCAUAACUGACGCUCAGGCACGAAGGCGUGGGGAUCAAACAGGAUUAGA